AUUUAUCUAAUAUAAUAAGUAUAUUUGACUUCCAAUCAAAAAGUUUGUUAAUUACAAGAUAAAUA
rnacentral:tRNA from 1 species